rnacentral:rRNA from 1 species
CCCUUAGAUGUUCUGGGCCGCACGCGCGCUACACUGAUGCAUUCAACGAGUUUCUUCCUGGUCCGAGAGGAAUGGGUAACCUUUUGAAAGUGCAUCGUGAUAGGGAUAGACUAUUGCAAUUAUUAAUCUUCAACGAGGAAUGCCUAGUAGGCGCAAGUCAUCAGCUUGCGUCGAUUACGUCCCUGCCCUUUGUACACACCGCCCGUCGCUCCUACCGAUUGGGUGUGCUGGUGAAAUGUUCGGAUCGGCCGUUUGUCGCGGUUUCCGCGUCAUGUGGCUGAGAAGUUCAUUAAACCCUCCCACCUAGAGGAAGGAGAAGUCGUAACA